rnacentral:rRNA from 1 species
UUUCGCAAUGCCCGAAAGGGUGACGAAGCGACGCCGCGUGCGGGAAGAAGGCCUUCGGGUUGCAAACCGCUGUCGGGAGUUAAGAAAUGUAAGGAUGUUAAUAGCAUCUUUGCUUGACUAAGGCUCCGGAGGAAGCCACGGCUAACUCUGUGCCAGCAGCCGCGGUAAUACAGAGGCGGCAAGCGUUGUUCGGAAUUAUUGGGCGUAAAGAGCACGUAGGCGGCUAUGUAAGUCGGUUGUGAAAGCCUUCCGCUCAACGGGAGAACAGCAUCCGAUACUGCAUGGCUUGAGUGCGGGAGGGGAGAGUGGAACUUCUGGUGGAGCGGUGAAAUGCGUAGAUAUCAGAAGGAACGCCGGCGGCGAAAGCGGCUCUCUGGCCCAUAACUGACGCUGAGUGUGCGAAAGCUAGGGGAGCAAACGGGAUUAGAUACCCCGGUAGUCCUAGCCGUAAACGAUGGGCACUAAGUAGAGGGGUUUUA